UUGACCUCAAAUCAGGUAGAUA
rnacentral:rRNA from 2 species